rnacentral:rRNA from 1 species
GGACCAAGGAGUCUAGCAUGUGCGCGAGUCAUUGGGAUAUUGACUAAACCUAAAGGCGCAAUGAAAGUGAAGGUCCGCCUUGCGCGGACCGAGGGAGGAUGGGCGGUCCCGAGGGACCGCCUCGCACUCCCGGGGCGUCUCGUUCUCAUCGCGAGAAGAGGCGCACCCAGAGCGUACACGCUGGGACCCGAAAGAUGGUGAACUAUGCCUGGUCAGGACGAAGUCAGGGGAAACCCUGAUGGAGGUCCGUAGCGAUUCUGACGUGCAAAUCGAUCGUCGGAACUGGGUAUAGGGGCGAAAGACUAAUCGAACCAUCUAGUAGCUGGUUCCCUCCGAAGUUUCCCUCAGGAUAGCUGGCGCUCGCUUCUCGCGAGUCUCAUUCGGUAAAGCGAAUGAUUAGAGGCAUUGGGGUCGAAACGGCCUCAACCUAUUCUCAAACUUUAAAUGGGUGAGAUCUCCGGCUUGCUUGAACUGUGAAGCCGCGAGAUAUCGGAUCAGAGUGCCAAGUGGGCCACUUUUGGUAAGCAGAACUGGCGCUGUGGGAUGAACCAAACGCCGAGUUAAAGCGCCUAAAUCGACGCUUAUGGGAUACCAUG